CGGGGUGUAGCGCAGUCUGGUAGCGCAUCUGCUUUGGGAGCAGAGGGUCGUGAGUUCGAAUCCCACCACCCCGACCA
rnacentral:tRNA from 6 species